rnacentral:lncRNA from 1 species
UCUACCACAAAUUCCCACUUGUCCGCGUCUCCAGACUUUGCUUCUAAAUCGAAAUCAUAUUGCGAAGAUCACUGAGAGUUUCUUUCAAUCUUUGCCUUCGCUUAGAGUUUUGAAUCUAAGUGGAAAUCAUUACCUAACUGAACUACCUGCAGGGAUUUCAAGUUUGGUUUCAUUACACCAUCUUGAUCUGUCUUGGACUGGCAUAAGUGGGUUGCCGCAAGAGCUCAAGGCAUUGGUGAAUCUGAGAUAUUUGAACUUGGAGUAUACAAAUGAAAUGAGUAAAAUUCCACAGCAGCUGAUAUCAAGCUUUUCAAAGUUACAGGUACUCAGGAUGCUGCGUUGCGGUCCAAGCCACCCGCCAAUAGUGGAAGAAGGCAACGUUCUAUCUGCUGAUGAUGAAUCAUUGAUGAAGGAAAUCCACUGUUUGGAACAAUUAAAUCUCAUCACCUUGUCCUUACAUGGUUCGCGUGGUGUUGAAAACUUUCUGAAAUUCCCAAAGCUGCAGAAUAUCACUCAAGCUCUGUCCAUCGAAAACUGCAACAGUCUACCGCUCAAUUUGUUGCAUCUAGCAAACAUGGAGCAUCUUGAGCAGUUAAGCAUUUGGGACAGUAAUUUGGAAGACUGGAAUGUCGACUGCGCGGGAGAGGUACAAAAAAUGCGUAAACUUCACUUUGUUACAAUAUACGAAUGCUCAAAUGUGAAGGACUUGACGUGGCUUGUUUUUGUUCCAAAUCUCAAGAGGCUGCGAAUAUUUGAUUGUGAUGAAAUGGAAGAAAUAAUCAGUGUUGAAAAAUUUGAAAAAUUGAGUGAAGUUUCAGAGAUGAUGGGAGAGCUUAACUUGUUCUCAGAGCUCGAAUCUCUGAGUCUAGGAUAUGCAAGUAAUUUGAAGCGCAUCUACCACGAUCCCUUGCCCUUUCCACAGCUGGAGGAAAUUCGCAUAUCAGAAUGCCCAAAGUUGAAGAAGCUCCCGCUCAAUUCCAGCAGGGCAAAGGGACGUAAAAUUGUCAUUUACGGGGACAAAGAAUGGUGGGAAGAGCUACAAUGGGAGGAUCAAGCCACACAAAAUGCUUUCUCUCCCUGUUUCCUACCUGAUGAACAAUAAAGUGCAAUACCAAGCAAGACUUUGAAUAAAGUUUCUGCGUGUGCUUAAUGAUUAUCUUGUCUAUCCAUUUCAUUUAAUUUAAAAGCUUUCUACGGUGUUGCGUGUGUGUCACUUGUCAUUCUUCUGUACUGCUGUUUCCUAUUUCCAGUUAAUAAAAUUUUUUUGUUCUUAGAAAUGCUUUGCUGGUAAGGGAGAUUCACAAUUUUCCCAUAUUAUGAUUAAUAUAUUCUAUUUACUUUCCUACUAUUUUGCAUAAUUUUUUAAUAUUAUUUUUAUUUUUAAAUAUAUUUUUAUUCAUAUUUAUUAUAAAUUAAAUAAAUGUAUGAAUAGAAAUAAAAAUAAAAAUUAAGUAUUAAAACAAGAAAUAUAUAUUAUCAUGUGAAUAAAAAAUAAAUAUUUGUUUGUACUUAUUUAUUUUAUGUAUUCAUUAUAAGAAAAUAUUUAUAAAAUAAAAAGUGCAAGAAAGAUAUUUUAUUGUUAAUUUUUUAUUCACAUCAAAACAUAUAUUUCUUACUUUUAAUAUUUAAUUUUUUAUUCAAAUCAUCAUUCAUAUGAUUUAUUUAAUUUAUAAUAAAUAUGAAUAAAAAUAUAUUUGUAAAUAAAAGUAAUAUUGUAAAUUAUGUUGUUAGAAAUUAUUGGUUAUUAUAAAAAUAAUAUGGGAUAAAUGGUAAAUCAUAGAUAUUAUUUCCUAUUUUCAGCUAAAAAAUUUCUUUGUUCCAAGAAUUACAUUGCUAGUAAUAAGGCUUUCAAGUUGCUUAACUGAAUAUGACUUCUUUCUUAAAAAGUUUAUCUAUUUCGGAGAUUGAUUAUCUCGAAGCAGUGAGAUUUAUGUAAUAUUGGUAUUAAAAAAAUUUGUGCUACUAAUAAAAAAUGGUCCAUCGGCCUAAAUGGCAAAUCGUGGCUUGAUUUUCUCAGCCCGAAGGCUCCGUAUCUCACUUUCGAAAGUAGUUUUAGCAAAAUGCAGGUAAAAAAUAAAAAUAUUCUGCAAUCUCUACGUAGCUUUUUCAGCAGAUUUCACCUAUUUGACUGUAGACGAAAGCAUCCAUUGGAUCGAUGCAUUUAUUAAGAAGAGGAUCAUCCGAAGGCAAAAGAUCAAGAUUAUCAUCUUAGGCCAGGAUAACAAUGUUCACUGCCCUCGCCAAUAGUACCUUUAGUGCUCUUCUUAAUUAGAUCAUUUCUUGUAUUAUAGUUUAUUUCGUGAAUAUUUUGAGGUUUAUAAAGGGGAAUUGAUUGAUUAUUGGAUUAACGAGGGAUUUGUACUUGAUUUUGAUGAAGGAUCCACCGAUCCACCAUUAUCAGUGAUCUUCUUCACACAUAUUUAUUACAAGAGGUAAAUGAUAAUCAUGUCAAAUGCAGGAAGUGAUUCGGGAUAUGGCAUUGCAGAUAGCAUGUAAAAUAGAGUAGGAGGAGAACUUUUUUGGUUCAUGCGGGAGUUUUAUUAACUGCAGCACCAAAGAUUGAAGAAUGGGAAGAGGUCAAAAGGAUAUCAUUGAUGGACAAUAAUAUUACGAGUCUAUCAGCAAUUCCUAAUUGUCCUUGUCUCCUAACUUUGCUCCUUUAGAGAAUCAAAAUUAGUAUGAUCAUUUAUGGUUUCUUUCAAUUUAUACCUUCUCUUAACGUUUUGAAUCUAGGAUUCUUUAUAUUUCUGACCAAAUUACCUUCUUUAACUGUCAUAAAGGAGUUGCUAGAAGAGAUGAAGGCCUUGGUAAAUCUUAGAUAUUUGAACUUGGAAUAUGUAACAUCAAAAAAUGAGUGCCCGCAACUGCUGCGUAACUUUCUAAAGUUGACAGGCACUCAAAAUGCUGGGUUGCAGUAAUUAUAGUGGAGAAGAAGAAGGUAGAGCUUUAUAUGAAGAUGUCGAACCUUCAUAAGUUGCUCUAUUUGGAAAACUUGAAUCUGUUGAGCAUUACCUUCGAUAGUUGCCCUAUUCUUGAAAUUCUUUUAACAUUACAAAAGUUGCUGAUUUGUACAGAAUCUCUAUGGCUUACAAAAAUUUAUAUUCUAGUGUCCCUCAAUGUUUUACCUCGAGCAUACAUGAAGCAUCUCAAAAAUUUUCUUAUUCAAUUUGCAUAUGAGAAUGCAAGAGAGAUACAAAAUUUGCUACAAAGCGGUUUUCGCAGUCUUCAAACAAUUUGCAUAUGAUUGUUCAAGUUUGAAAAAAUUUAUUUUCCCAAUCCAAUCAAGAUGGAGAGUAAGCCUCAAAAGCAUUGUGAGCUAUCUUUACAAUUUUCACCCCUUCUUUGUAUGUGAAGAAAGAUAAUAAAGAACAACAAAUUAGUAAUGAAGAAAAAGAAAAUGGCAAGUUCAAUAUGGUAGAAGUUAAUUGUCCAUUUAACGUUGCUCAAUCAAGUAAGCUUUACCUCCAAUUCUUGAAGAAAAUGGCUAAUUCUACUCUCUUUUACUUUUCUUGGUUCUGCAGUAAAAUUCAGUUCUAGUUUGAAGGAAAUUGUUAACAUCAAAACCUACAUAUUGCCUAAGCGUCUGCUGACAUCAUAUUUCCAGAUACACCAUAACCAGAUCAUAUAAGACAAGAAAUGUGAAAGAAAUACAAAAUGAGUCACAGAAGGAAAUUACAUGCUCUGCAAUUUUUCCUGCUAAACCCAGCAGUUAGAAUGCUAAUUGUUUCGAGCACCUUAAUACUCAAAGGACCCCAGCUUGAAAUGGCUUUAGCUUAGCUUCCUUUAGCUCUGUUGCAACACACACACACCUCCAGGAAAGGAACAGAACAAAAUACCUCAUCAUACCAAAUAUGAGAGAUAAGACGAGGCAUUACUCUGUGGCAUGCACCUGAUUUCUCUAGAAAAAUCCAAUUUCUCCAUAGGUUCUCCACAAUCAGUGUGUGAUCAACCUUUAAAGCAUUCAAUUUUAUCAUUAAGAGAAGGAAGGGAAUUCCUCCCAUGCGAUGGUAACUCCUUAUUUAACACAGGGUCAGAGCAGAGCAAGAAGACCAGGGAAUUUCAUUAGAUUAAGAAAAGAAUCGCCACCCAAUGGAGCAUUUGAACCAAAACUCUUGUCAAAUUCUUGAAAUUUCCUGCUUUCAUUAAGAGAACUGAAGGAAGAAAGAAGGGGGGCAUAGCCAGAACCAGAUUUAAAUUCAAUCGGGUUUUUUAAGCUAACAAACCUGCAUGAGCAUCUAAAAUUCAAUACCCAUGGAAUAGAUCUGCCUUCAACUUCACAUACCAGCUUCUCUUAACCAAUGACCACCAUUAGAAAUAAGGAUUCUUUAUCGUAAAUUCAUAAUGCACGAAAGAAAUCAUCGAAAGGCCCAACCUUCUCUCUGAGUUCCUUCAAGAACCAAAAUCCACCAAAACAAGUGAAUUUCAAACUCUAUCACUCAUCACUCUCUCUUUCUCAGUUGUUUGGGCCUAUGAUGCCAAUUUACAACAUUCAAUCGAUGCUGAAUAUUUUGUCAGCUUGUCCCAAUUCCAGAUGUGCAAUGUUCACAUUACAUUGUCUUGCCUACCAUUUGAUUUGAACCAUAAAAUCUAUCUAAAGAAGUUCAUGUUUCACACUUUCUUAGCCAUUAUCAUCAGCAUUCAUCUCCCAUAUUCUCAGGUUUAAAUCAUUGGAAACUGAGUGACAAAUAUGAUAAUAGAAUGAAAACUUUAGUGGCAUGAAGGAACAUAGAAGCAACAUCGGAUGUUUUAAAUCUGCAGCAUAAUUUCCUUAGAUCCCUCACAAAGAUUGAAACUUCAAAUGAAAUAAAGUAGCAGGGCAUAGAUUGGAAGUCACGUGCUUGAUAUUUAAUUCUGUCAAAAAUAAUUUGCAGUAUUGAAAUAGAUGCUCUAAUAAAUUUUCACAGGGAUUUCAAUAUUUGCCGCUAAUCUUCAGUAGUGAAACAGGAUAAAAUCAUAACGUGUCCUAUAACUAGCAGAGGCAAAAAGAUCCUACAAAAAAAGAAAGCCAAAAACUGUUACAAUCUACAGAACGCAAGUAUUCUACUAGCCAACUCCCAUUAAAAUUUGAAGCCCUUCUAAAAUCUCAGCCUAUACUUCCUUCUAUGUACCCCAACUGAAUUUCUCCUAGAAAUCACAUUUCUUCAUCAGCCUUAACUCAUAAAUCUUUUACUUUUAAUCAGAGAUACUUUUUGAUAUGCUUGGCUUUACAACAAUGAAUAAUUUUCCUUAAAUCUUUUCUAAUGGACAAGAAAGCACAAAGCACAAAAAUUGCCAUAGUUGGAUAGAUAGAAACAGCUUUUCCUGAAGCUUUGUCACAAGAAAACCUGAACAUCAUCGCUUCUCUUACAAGGCCCCAGAGCAGAAGAAGUGUCCCAAUUAGGCUCAUCCUCCAAGCUCCAAUUAAGGCUCCUGCAACAGACAAAUAGCUUCCUGCAAGAACCUGAUGUUCCUCCAAAAGAAAAAAAAAUGACAAAAUGAAAUGCAAUGUACUACUAAGUUCAAGAGAAAAGCUCCUAAAAUAAAAUUUUGGAGUUUUGGUUUGCCUAUGGUUUUAUGACUCUUUUUGUACAAAGAUCAUAUUUAGGCAUAAGGCUCGUAAUGUUUGAAAUAGCAAUAAUUGACAUGAAUAUGAUUGUUUAAAAAAAAAAGAAUAACAAUAACCUCUAGGCGGAGGAGAUCAGUUUUCCGGGAAUUUGUUAGAUUGGUGAAGUUAUAUAGCCGCAGCAAUUUGCUGUAGCUUGGAAUGCUUUUGCCCUUCAUUAUGGCACUUGCCAAUGCUCCAGGAUACAGAAGAACCUUGGCUACAAAUUCAGGGAAGACUUCACCUAUAAUCAACUGGAAGCAUGUCACCUCUAUAGGUGUUGUACAUUUUCCACUUCUACAUGGUAUCCUACAAAAACAAACAAUACAACAUGUAUUAUACAUGUAUUUCAAAAGCAUUUUUAAUGCUAUUAAGUUUAGCCAAUGAAAUCUCUACAAGACAUCUGGGAUUCCAACUCCUCAUAUGUGAAAUGAAUGUCAAAAAGAAAUGUGGGUUGAGUCGGCUUUUAUGCUUAUUAAUAGAAUUGAAUAAUGCUGCCAGUGACAGUAAAAUGAAUUUCAUGUGAUAAUUGAAUCAUAAAAGUGACGUAAAUGAUGACAAAAUAAUCACCAUUAUUAUAUAAAAUGAGAAAAUAAUUAUGGAAGAAACAGGAAGAAUUACCUGAAAAGAGGGAUUUGGAAGACAAUGAAACAAAAAUAUAAAGAAGAAGCAAUUGAAGAUAUAAAGGCUGCCCAUUUCUUUGAUGAACCCAUCAACAAAGGCUUGAAACUGUAAAAUGCUGUGAUGGAGGGAAUUGAAAGUUGAAACUCUAAAAUACGCAAAUUAAUUCAUGGGGCCAUCUUGAUUGAUUGAUUACAUAGUAAUUGAAAAGUGUCCGUACAUAGUGACAUCAGUUUUCUCUCUUAAAUUAGGAAAUGGUUCAUUUGUUUUUUUUUUUUCAGUAAUUAGUGGAGAAAAUUUGGUGAAAAUAUCAUGAAAAUAGCCAAAAUUUAGGAGUCAUCCAUAAUGUUAGCCGGUUUUUCACUUCUUUUAAUUUUAUUGCCAAAAAAUACGCCAUUUUAGAUAGAAACAGCCUUGGCUAGCCCUUUUGCAAGUUACACUAUUAAGUGCGUGUGAUAACAAAAUGUUUAUUCUAGUUUCCAACCCUGAGAAUUUUUCAACCUCAAAUAAAUAAAUAAAUAAAUAUUAUCUGGUAAUGAUAUGUUAAUCAAAGUUUUUAGAGUGUCAUCCAACUGAACACCCCCACUAUAACCAUUGGGAGAAGGAAAUGAGCUAUCUCAUGUGACAAUAACUCCUUUUUUAACAAAGGAUCUAACAAAGCAAGACGGGAAGAUCAUUUUCUUCCCCACCCAGUUGAAAUAAUUUUCUCAAAAAACUCAAAGUAGAACUAACAGACGUUCUUUCAAUAAUACCAACUGUAUUUGCAAUGCUUUUUUUCUAUUUCAUUAUACAUACUUAUUUGUUUCUACAUUAUUACUUUAAUGUAUAUUACUUAAAAUAAAUUAAAAAGUAUUAAACGCUUUAAUUAAACUUUAAUGCUAAAGAGCUCACUUUAAUGAUGUUUGAACAGCAGUAGCUUGUUAUAAACCUUAAACAUUUAAUAGUGCAAAGUCAUAACCUUAUGUCCUGCAGCUAGUUGAUAUCUCCCCAAGCUAAAAAUGUGUUGGGUACUCUUCUUCCUUCUUUUUUUUAAUGUUACAAUUUAUAUAGAUGUAUUAUUAUUUUACGUUUAUUGGGACUUUAGAUACAUGUAUUUAUAUAUUAUUUUAUAAAUCUACCCAGACUAGUUCAGAAAUUUACUUUUAAUUAUAUUCAAUCUACUCUCAUUAAGGCCAUGUUUGGUAUUGAGUUAACAUAAUUGUUGUAAAAAAAAUAUAAUUAUGAAAUAAAAAUGAUUAACAUAUAAUAAAUAUGACUUAUAAAUAAUUAUUUUGAAAAAAAAUUAUAAAGAUAUUAUAAGUUUUCCAAAUAAAAGUGGUGGAUCAAAUUAAUUUAAUUCUUAAGUCACAAUAGUUAGUGUUUACCAAACAUUAAAAGUUAUUGCCAUACAAUCUCAUUACCAAACAAGAUUAACAAUAUUAGCAAAAAAAUCUACUUUUAUUCUACAUUAGUAUUACCGGUGUCCUCACCAUUAUUGAGAUUUGAGAGCAUCGACCCUAGGCUUUCUUACACUCUGCUUGCUAUAACUUUCCAAGUAGAAUUUUUAUUAAAAAAAUUAGUUUUUUACUUAUUAAUAAAAAAAUUAUUAAAAAUUAUAAAAUUAUUUUAAUUGACAAACUUCUUAAAGUUAUAUUGUGAAGUGAGUGAAAUUAAAUUGCGAAGUAAGUAAAAGAUAUUUGAGAUAAUUUAAAAAUACUUUCCAAUCUCUAUUCUAAAAAGUUUAAAUUUAAAUCUUUAUCAACGUAGACGAAAUAACUUAUUUAUUUCCUUUAAAAUUCUACUCAAAUUAUAACUAAAUAAUAAUAUUAUAUUUUUAAAAAAUAUUAUGAGAUAAAAAAAUAUUUAAAUAAAUAUUUUUCAUCCAAUAUUCAUUUACUUAAACUUUAAAAAAAAUAAUUAUUUCACGCCGCGGCGGCACAGAAAAAUACAUUUCCAAAUCCCGGAGAGUAACAAUUAACAAAACAAACAAAAGGGAUUUUAAUAAAUUUGAUGCCUCGUUCACCGAAUCUGGCCAAUUUUAAAUAAAAUGGGUGACGUGAUCAUGAUCAUGUGAUAAAUAAAUAUUUAUUUCAAUUUCCGACCCACAUAAGCAUUCAUCCCAUCUCAUAAAGAAUUUCUCCACACGAUUUAAACAAAACCCACCCUCUUUAUGGACUCCACUUUUCAGAAGGGUGUUUGCCUUUGCCCACCGAGUAACCAACCAAAACUCUUUCCCCUUCUGCUUUCAUUCUCCAACUCGUUGUCACUGACUCACUGUGUUUUGCUCUUCCUCUCUAUAUGAUAUUUAAGAACUAUUAAAUGUUUGUUUGUUUCUAAAAAAAAUAUUUGUUUUUUUGGUAUUAGAUGAUUAUAAAUAUUUAUUUAAUUUUAUAAUUUUUUAAAAUUUCUUAUUAUUGUUUCAUUACUUUUUAGUAAUUUUUUAAUAUUAAACAAAUUAUUUUUGUCUCGACUAAUAAAAACUUAAACUCUAAAUUUUUUAGAACAUAAAUUACAUUUUUAAAAAUAUCAAAAUAUUUAAAAUAUAUUUUAUUUAUUUAAUAUUUCAUUUUUUAUUAAAUAAUUUUAUAAUUAUUUAUUAAAAUUAUUUUAUAAUUUUUAAUAAAAACUCACGUUAAUAAUUAAAUAACUAAAAUUAUUUUAAUAAAAAAUUUACUAAUAAAAAUUCUACCACACUGCAGAGUCUACUCACCUGUCCGUACUGUUUAAUUUUUAAAAUUUUAAAAAAUUCUACCCUCGUUAUCAAUAUUAUUUCAAUACUGUCACCAAAUACGAACAUCACAUCUUAAUAAAGAUAAUUGGGUGUGUUAGCAUUUUGGUCAAAUUUACAGUAUUAUUUCAAUACUAUUUACGCACAUCGAUAUCAAUAUUAUUUCAAUACUAUCACCAAUAUUAUUUCAAUGUUAUCAUUAUCUCCCCAAAAUAAUGAUAAUUAUUAAUUGUUUCAUCUCAUAAAUAAAAAUUUAAUAUUGUGUAUUUGCGUGUGAUGGCAUUUUGGUCAAAAGAUGAUUUUACCUUUACAUUAUUUGGAUCUAUAAUAUAAUAUGAUUUUCAACAAAAAGAUAAUUUUAGGUUGUCAGAUGAUAAUAACAACCAAAAAUAUUAUCUCUCGCCUGUAACUUGAGGAUAUAAUAAAAGUUUUUCAUUAUACUCUACUGUUAGUUUCUCUUCUUUUAUUCCUUUGAAAUCUUUCGACAAAAAUGGGUGGCACCAUCUCAACUUUCUUAUCAACAGACACAAUUCGUUCAAUUUUAUCUUAUGUUGGUGGAGAAGCUAAGUAUAUAUGGGGUCUUAAAGGCAAUCUCGAUGACUUGCAGACUCAAAAGGAGAACUUGACUGCGAAAAAACAAGAUCUGCUGAAUAAGGUUAAGCUUGCCGAGCAACAAUCCCGAACCAGACGGACGACGACGGUGGAACUUUGGUUUAGAAGGGUGGAAGAAAUAGAAACUAGAGUUGAGAAUCUGCAAAAAGAAGGAGAUCAACAGGUUGAUAGACUCUGUCUUGGAGGCUUCUGUUCCACGGACUUGAUUUCAAGCUACGACUUCGGCAAAAAAGUGGAGAACUUGAGAGAAAAAGUGAUCGAACUGAAGAAAGAGGGGGAAGCAAUGAAAGAAGUUUAUGAGGGGGUACCAGAAGGUGCAGCGGUUGCAAUAGCUGUUGACCGAACAAUUGUUGGUCAAGAAUCAAUACUUGACCAAGUUUGGAGAUGCAUCACUGAUCAAAAAAAGAAUGAGGGAAUUAUUGGCUUAUAUGGUAUGGGGGGCGUCGGCAAAACUACUCUGUUAAACCAAGUCAAUAACAAAUUCUGCGGUGAUGAACAACAUCAUUUUGAUGUCGUUAUCCGGUCGGUUGUAUCUAGAGAGCCAAACAUGAAGCAGAUUCAAGAGGAUAUUGGGAAAAGGAUAGGCUUCUCAAAAAAUUCAUGGCAGGAUAAAAGUUUUGAAGAAAGGGCUUCAGACAUCACCAACACUUUAAAGCAUAAGAAGUUUGUAUUGUUAUUGGAUGAUAUAUGGGAGUCCGAAAUUGAUUUAACCAAAUUGGGCGUCCCUCUUCAGACACUAGAUUCUGGGUCCAGAAUAGUCUUCACAACUCGUUUUGAGGGUACUUGUGGUAAAAUGGGAGCCCAUAAGAAUCGGUACAAAGUGUUUUGUUUGGGAGAUGACGAUGCCUGGAAAUUAUUUGAGGGGGUGGUCGGGAGAUACGUUCUUAACAAGCAUCCCGACAUUCCGAAGUUAGCCGAGGAUGUGGCACGUCAGUGUCAUGGUUUGCCGCUAGCACUCAAAACAGUAGGUAAUGCCAUGGCGAGCAAAGAGUACCCUGAAGAAUGGAAAGAAGCAAUUGAGAUCCUAAGCGAAUCAGCUUCUAAAUUCGAAGGUAUGGAGAAAAAGGUGCUUUCGAUCUUAAAGUUCAGCUAUGAUAGUUUGCCGAAAGAUGAACUUCGAUCUUGUCUCCUGUACUGUUGCUUAUUUCCCGAAGACUCUGAAAUUCUAAAAACCGAGUUGAUAGAGUAUUGGAAAAGUGAAGGAUUUGUGGAUUCCAGCAGCGGGUGGGGGGUUCUUGGUGCUCUCGUUCGUGCAUGCUUAUUGGAGGAAGCAGGUGAUCAUGUAAAAAUGCACGAUAUGAUCCGUGACAUGGCAUUAUGGAUAGCAAAUGAAGUAGAGGAGGAGGAGAACUUUUUGGUUCGUGCAGGAGUUGGAUUAACUGACGCCCCAAAGAUUGAAGAAUGGGAAGGGGUCAAAAGGAUAUCCUUGAUGCAGAACAAAAUUCAAAGUAUAACACAAAUUCCCACUUGUCCGCGUCUGCAAACAUUGCUUCUGGCGAGUAAUCGUAUUAAGGAGAUCACUGAGAGUUUCUUUCAAUCUUUGCCUUCACUUAGAGUUUUGAGUCUAAGAAGAAAUCGUUCCCUGACUGAACUACCUGUGGGGAUUUCAAGUCUGGUUUCAUUACACCAUCUUGAUCUGUCUUCUACUAAAGUACGUGGAUUGCCGCAAGAGCUCAAGGCAUUGGUGAAUCUGAGAUAUUUGAACUUGGAGUUUACACGUGAAAUGUGUAAAAUUCCAGAGCAAUUAAUAUCAAGCUUUUCAAAGUUACAGGUACUCAGGAUGCUGCAUUGCGGUCCACGUCACCAGCCAAUAGUGGAAGAAGGCAACGUUCUAUCUGCUGAUGCUGAAUCAUUGAUGAAGGAAAUCCACUGUUUGGAACAAUUAAAUCUCAUCACCUUGUCCUUACAUGGUUCGCGUGGUGUUGAAAACUUUCUGAAAUUCCCAAAGCUGCAGAAUAUCACUCAAGCUCUGUCCAUCGAAAACUGCAACAGUCUACCGCUCAAUUUGUUGCAUCUAGCAAACAUGGAGCAUCUUGAGGAGUUAUAUAUCGAGGAUAGUAAUUUGGAAGACUGGAAUGUCGACUGCGCGGGAGAGGUACAAUAAAUGCGCAAACUUCACUCGGUUCUCAUACGGAAUUGCUCAAAUGUGAAGGACUUGACGUGGCUUGUUUUUGUUCCAAAUCUCAAGUGGCUGCGAAUAGUUGGUUGUGAUGACCUGGAAGAAAUAAUCAGUGUUGAAAAUUUUGAAAAAUUGAGUGAAGUUUCAGAGAUGAUGGGAGAGCUUAACUUGUUCACAGAACUCGAAUCUCUGAUUCUAAGAAAUGCAAGUAAUUUGAAGCGCAUCUACCGCGAUCCCUUGCCCUUUCCACAGCUGAAGGAAAUUCUCAUAUUGAAAUGCCCAAAGUUGAAGAAGCUCCCGCUCAAUUCCAGCAGUGCAAAGGGACGUAAAAUUGUCAUUUACGGGGAGAAAGAAUGGUGGGAAGAGCUACAAUGGGAGGAUCAAGCCACUCAAAAUGCUUUCUCUCCCUGUUUGGCUGUUUCGUGCCUUCAUGAAUAAUAAAGUGCAAUAAGGCGCAAAAGUGUGAAUAAAGUUUCUGCGUGUGCUUAAUGAUUGUCUUGUCUAUCCAUUUCAUUUAAUUUAAACGCUUUCUACGGUGUUGCGUGUGUGUCACUUGUCAUUCUUCUGUACUGCUGUUUCUUAUUUCCAGUUAAUAAAACUUUUUUGUUCUUAGAAAUGCUUUGCUGGAAAGGGAGAUUGUCAAUUUUUCCAUAUUAUGAUUAAUAUAUUCUAUUUAUUUUCUUAUUAUUUUUAUUACAGUCAAUAAUUGUUUGAUAGCAUAAUAUUUUAAUAUUAUUUUUAUUUUUAAAUAUAUUUUUAUUUAUAUUUAUUAUAAAUUAAAUAAAUGUAUGAAUAGAAAUAAAAAUAAAAAUUAAGUAUUAAAAUAAGAAAUAUAUAUUUUAAUGUGAAUAAAAAAUAAAUAUUUUUUUAUACUUUUUUAUUUUAUAUAUUCAUUAUAAGAAAAUAUUAUAAAAUAAAAAGUGCAAGAAAAAUAUUUUAUUAUUAAUUUUUUACACAUCAAAAUAUAUAUUUCUUUCUUUUAAUACUUAAUUUUUUAUUCAAAUCAUUAUUUAAUUUAUAAUAAAUAUAAAUAUAAAUAUAUUUGUAAAUCAAAGUAAUAUUGUAAAUUAUACUGUUAGAAAUAAUAAUAAGUUUAUCUCCAGCAUGAAUAACAUUAAAGCGUGGCUAGCAUCAUCAUAUUUUAUCUACAGCAUCAAAAUACUGAUAACAUCAACACCAUAAUUCCAAGGUUGUCAAACUAAUCAUCUCAAAAUGCCAUUAUGCUUAUAGCGUGCUGGCAUCAUCUUUACUUUCAGCAUCAAAAUUCUUUUAUUUAAUACAUUUUUAUUUUAUACAAUUUUUAUCAUAUUAAAACCCUUUGUGACCUAAGUUAUAUAGACUUUUAAAAAUUUUAUGCCACCUCUCUUUAGUAAUAGUAGUAUUGAUUAUGAUUUAAUUAUUUUUUUUAAUUUAUUAAACACUAAUCACUUAAAUUUAACCCAAGAAAAAAAUUAGAACAUCAAAAAAAUUUUAAUUGAUUCUUAUUAAGUACUAGAAUUAACUUCUCCCAAUGAUAAUUUAUUAAGCAAACCAUAAUGAUCAUCUUACACUAAAGAACCAACACAUCUUCAAAACACAAGUAUUUAGUACAAAUAAUUAUCCCAAUAAAAUUUAAUGAAAAAGGAAAGAGAUAUUUUUAUUAUUUCUUUUCCUUUCUUUUAUUUCAAUUUCUUGCCUCUUGAUCUCUUCCAAAAACCAAGCAAACUACUUAUUAAAAAAUUAAAAAAAAAAAAAAAAAGGCAAAGCGCAAGAAAAAAAGAAAUAAAAAAAUUCACAGUCACAUGUGGCUACACACAUCCCAACACCUAUCUGUCCAAUAAUUCAUCUCCAAUAAUUCAUCUCCAAUAAUUGCCCCUAUAUGACCACCGGUUUGUUCUUGCAUAUAUAAGAAACAGGAUAAAAUCGUAAUGCGUCAUUUAAUUAGCAGACGCAACAAGAUCCUACAGGAAAAGGGUUUGCAGGAAAAGAAAGGAAAAAAAUUGUUACAAAUUACAGAAACCCAAAUAUUCUACUAAGCUAACUCUCAUUAAAAUUCGAAGCCAUUCUUAAAUCUUAGCUUAUAGUACUACAUCAUUCCUUGUAUGUACCCCAACUGAAAUUCUCACAGAAGUCACAUUUCUUUAUUAGCCUCAACUCAUGCAUCUUUUACUUUUAAUCAGAGAUACUUUUUUAUAUGCUUGGCUUUACAACAACGAAUAAUUUUCCUUAGAUCCUUUCUAAUAGACAAGAAAGCACAAAGCACAAAAAUUGCCAUAGUUGGGUAGAUAUAAACGGCUUUUCCCGAAGCUUUGUCACAAGAAAACCUGAACAUGAUCGCUUCUCUUACAAGGCCCCAGAGCAGAAGAAGUGUCCCAAUUAGGCUCAUCCUCCGAGCUCCAAUUAAGGCUCCUGCAACAGACAAAUAGCUUCCUGCAAGAACCUAGUGUUCCCCCACAAAAAAAAGCACAAAAUGAAAUGCAAUGUACUGCUAAAAUCAAGAGAAAGGCUCCUAACAUAAACUUCUGGAAUUUCACUUUGCCCAUGGUUUUAGGACUUUUUUGGUACAAAGAUCACAUUCAAGCAUAAGGCUCGUAAUGUUCGAAAUAGCAAAUAAUUGAUAUGAAUAUGAUGGUUAAAAAGAAAAAAAAUUACAACAACCUCUAAGCGGAGGAGAUCAGCUUUCCGGGAAUUCGUUAAAUUGGUGAAGUUAUAUAACCGGAGCAAUUUGCUAUAGCUUGGAAUGUUUUUGCCCUUCAUUAUGGCACUUGCUAAGGCUCCAGGAUACAGAAGAAACUUGGCUACAAAUUCAGGGAAGACUUCACUUAUAAUCAACUGGAAGCAUGUCACCUCUAUAGGUGUCGUACAUUUUCCACUUCUACAUGGUAUCCUGCAAAAACAAACAAUACAACAUGUAUUAUACAUGUAUUUCAAGUACGAAAUAGAUCGAGAGCAUUUCUGAUGCUAUUAAGUUUAGCCAAUAAAAUCUCUACAAGACCUCUGGAAUUCGAAUUCCGCUCACAUAUGAAAGGAAUGUCAAAAAAGAAAUGUGGGUUGGAUAGGAUUUUACGUUUUAUUACUAGAAUUAAAAAUGCUGCCAUUGACAGUAAAAUAAAUUUCAUGUGAUAAUUGAAUCAUAGAAGUGAGUACGUGGUGAGAAAUAAUCACCAUUAUUAUAUAAAAUGAGAAAACAAUUAUGGAAGAAGCAGAAAGAAUUACCUGAAAAGAGGGAUUUGGAAGACAAUGAGACAAAAAUAUAAAGAAGAAGAAACUGAAGAUAUAAUGGCUGCCCAUUUCUUUGAUGAACCCAUCAAAAACGGCUUGAAAAUUAAAGAAACUGUCAAAUGCUGUGAUGGAGGGAAUUGAAACCUAAAAUAUGCAAGUUAGAUCAUGGGCCCAUCUUGAUUGAUUGAUUGAACACAUAGCACCUGACAAGUGUCCUUUAUAUACUGACAUUAGUUUUCUCUCUUAAAUUAGGAAAUUGUUUAUUGAAAAUAGCCAAAACUUAGGAGCUAUUUAUAAUUUUAGCCAGCUUUUCAUUCGUUUUAUUUUUUUAGCCAAGAAUACCCCAUUUUAGAUACAAAUAUCCUUUUGUAAAUUAUACUAUUCCGCACGUGUUUGACAUUUGUCGAAUAUCUUAUGUCUUUUUUUUUUAAUAAUUCACUGUAUGUGCUCAUCUUUAUGGCAAAGCUUAUGUUACAAAUAAUAUACCAAACAACCAAUAAAUAUAGGUUAUUGAUUUUGACAUUUCUUAAAUUCAAUAGAUGAGAAUUAUUCUAACAUAAAACCAAGUCUAGGUGUGAUAGUAAUUUAUAAAAAAUUUUAUUUUUAAUCACAUAGUUAUUUAUUUUUAAAUAAGUCCUCAUUGAUUUUGUAUAAUUAAAUGGUUUUGUUGUCCAUCUUUUCUACAUAUAUUUUUAAAUUUUAUAGAGUUUUUACCAUAUUUUUAUAAAGAUCUAACUGAUUAUCAUAUUCAUAAAGAUUUACAAAUUUUGAAUGUCUUUUUGCACAGGUAUUUAUAAUUUUGUCUCUCUUGAGACAUAGACAAUAUUUUUCUUCUAAUGCACACACACAUAUAUUCAAUCUAUUUUUUCAUCCUAAAAACAUACCAUCAAUUUUGUCACAUAAAUUUUGUAAUCUAAAUUUAGUAUCUUGAAUUAUAAGAGAUCUUAUAUGUGAUAAAUAUGUUACAAAUCUAAUAAAUUAUUAGAAAAAUGGUAUAAUGAAUAAAUUACCGGAACCUCUAAUAAUUUCACAAAACAUAAAAAUCAAUAAGUUACCACCUUCUAGCUAUAGGCAAAAAUAAUUUUUCUAUGGAAGAUUUAAAUUCUUGAUAUGAUCAAUGAUUUAGAUAUGGAGAAAUAAUCAAUUAAAUUGAAUGUCACUAUAUUUAUUAAAUAAAUUAGAAAACCCAAAUUUAUCUAUAAAUGAUAUAGAAAGUGUAAACAAUAUAUUAGAAAUUAAUAAUUGCAAUGAAGAAAAUAUAAAAAAAAUUAAAAGUUAAGAGAUCAAUUGAGUAAAUAAUUUAAUAAAGUUAAACAAUUAAUGAAAGAUUUCAACAUUGAAAAUCAUGAUAUAUUAAAGUAAGAGAUCAUUAAUAUAAUGAAUAAAAACUCAAUAUAUAUAAGAUUAAACAAGUUAGAGAUUCAAUUAAUAAAAUAAAAAUAAUUGCUGAGUAAUUUGGUAUUAAAUUUGUUAUAACUAUAAAAUGAAAAACUUCAAAAAAAAAUUGAAGUAAUUGCAGUACUGCUGCCUAGCUGCAGCUUGGGGCUGAAAGUAGAGCUUUAGAACUUAUUAAACUUUUUAACAAUUAUUAUAUUUUCUAAGGAUUUAAAACUUUAUGGCUGUAACAUACAGCGAAUGUAACGUAAGCUUUGCCCUUCUUUAUACGUUAUUACGUAAACGUAUAUUCCUCAAAAUGAAUUAUAAAGUAUCAAACGCUUUUUAAUUAAACCUUAAUGCUAAUGAGCUCACUUUAAUGAUGUACGAAUAAUAAUAGCUUGUUAUGGACUUACAGUCUUUAGACUUUUAGCAGUGCGAAGUCACAAGCAUUGCCCAAAAUCUAGUGGCAUAGAUUAUGGGCGAUAGGUGCCAUCACUCGAGUGAUUGAUGUCGUCGCCCGGGCGACAAUGUACAUCGCUGAGGCAACAAGCCACUUUGCUAGGCCCAUUGCGCCGACAGCUUUCGUCGCCUGCAUGAUGGCCAAAUCCAUCCAAUAAGUUUUUAGCCCAAGAAAAACAGCUUUGGUGACCAUCACGCAUCCCAUUUUGCUUACAAGUCGUCUUAAUUUUCAUAGAAAAUUGUUGCUAUUGAUCUUCCGAUACUGGCCUAAUACUUACAGAUAAUUAUUAAUCGAUUAUGGAAAGGCAGCAAACUUAAGGUUAAAAAAAGAAAAAAAAAACUCUUAGAGGCAAUUUAGCAAACAUCUUUUGUGCCAUGAUUUUAUACCACUAAUUCUCUAAAUAAUUGCUAAUUUUGCCCUCCCAUUACAAGUCUAAAUGAUAAUCUACUGUUGCCAAACGUAUACGCACUUGAACCCUUAAAAAAUAACUAUUCUACGCCCCAGAGGCACAGAAAAAUCUAUUUGUUUUGUCCCUGUACUCUUUUCAUUUGUUUUGUCCGCUUCCAAAUUCUAGAGAGAGAAAAAAAUUUAAAAAAAAAAGAUUUUAAUAAAUUUGAUGCCUUGUUCACCGAAUUCCUCGAUUUUAAAUAAAAUGAGUGUCCUGAUCAUGUGAUAAAGAAAUGUUUAUUUCAAUUUCCAUCCAACCCAUAUCUCAUAAAGAAUUUCUCAACCUCAAAUAAGUAAAUAAAUAUCAUCUUGUAAUAAUAUGACAUUUACGUUGAAGUAAACACCGACCCACUAUUUUCUCAAUUUUUCUUUUCUGAGGACACUAUUUUCUCAAUUGAAGAAUAUGUUUUGUCCAAAAUUCACAAUUUGCUCCACAUGAUUUAAAGCACACGGAAUUCACACUUUUCUCCACAUGAUUUAAAAGAACAGAGAAUUCUCCCGACCUUAGUUAUGGAUCUUAUUAUGUUUUUUGAAAUUCAAUAUUGCAAACUCAUUGGUGUAUCUAGAAAAUCAUAUUAGUAGAGUAAAAUUUAUAAAUAACCAAAGAAAAAAGUUCACGCUCUUACUUUAUUAUUUUUAUAUCUUAUUAGUAUAUCCAUUUACAUCUCUUCAAAAAAUACAGUUAAAAUAAGAUCAUCAAAUUGUAAAAUUUGAAGAGCAAUAUAUGGUUGCAAACAUUUUAUUUUUUUAUUUUUAAUAAUAAAUUUAAUUUUGACCUUUUUAAUGUUAGGUUGCACAUUUGGAUUAAAUCAAAUUAAAUUUCAAAUUAGAUCUUAGAUCUUAUUUUAAUAGAUUCAACUGGAUUUUGGGCAUCUAAUUAAGCAACCGGACUGAUAAAUUGCAAAUGAAUGAGAUUUGUAUGUGAUUUUAGAAUAAAAUUUUAACUUGAAUUUAUGUAUUUAACUAAUCCAACAAGACAAAUCUGCAAGUUCAACUAACUAAAUAAAAUAUGUUAUCUGAAACUUUGGGUACAAGUGGGGCAGUUUAUCACUUAGUGGCUCUGCUACUACUUAUAGUCUAUUCUUAUUCAACUUUCAGAUCUUUUAUAUUAUAUAACAAAUUAAAUUAUAUUCUAAAAAGUGUAUCUCACUGGUUAACAUAUUAUUUCUGGAUAAUAAUCAAUUUUAUCAAAUAAAAAGGAGUUUUGGUCAUUCAUUUGAUCCACCUGUGUUGACACUGUCGUACGUUACAAAAGCUUUUGUCUUUUGUGACUCAGUUUAUUGUAAAUUUUCGUUCAGCCCCUUGUACUCUAUUUUAUUUAUAAGAAUUAUAAAAUUUUCUACUUACCUAUACUAUUAAAAUUCAAUUUAUCUCCUUACAAUCUUUUUCAUUUACUGUUUUUUUGUAGUAUUAAAAAGAGUUUCUAUUUACAAUCACAAUAUAUUAAUCAUCAUAACACACUAAUAUUAAUAAAAAGACAAAAGCAUCCUUAAAUUAAUACUAAAAAAUGCUUCCCUCUCUUGAGGAAUUAUGGUAUCUCAUCUUCCAUCACUCAUUACCAACAAAAUUUUCAAGGAUAUGACCAUUCAUCUUCUUUAUAAUACCAUCUUAGAAUAAUUAAUACUUUCAUGAUAAAAGAAUUAACAAAAUAAGGAUAAAUUCCCUUUGAAUCCAUCCCUCUCCACUAUCAUUUUCUCUUCAUUAGCAACCUUUAGCAACAAUUGAAGCCAUCAUCAGACUCAUCACACAGAGAGAGUGAGAGAGAGGAAGAAGAAACGAAAGUACGUUUACUCAACAUGAAUCGAAAUGAGUUGGAAUCAGAAUGAGUUAGAAUCAUAAUGAGCUAAAAUCGAAAUGAAGAAUUGAAACCAUAAUAAGUUAUUUUCUUGAACUAUAGGAAUCGUAAUUAGAAUGAAUUAUAUUACCAUUGAUGUGUUUACUUUGUCUUAGAAUCAAAAUCGUAAUGAAUUAAAUUGUAAUAAAUUACUAUAAAAUCUUUAAUUAAUUAUUAUCAUAAUUAUUAUUUUGUAUUUUAACUAUUGUAAUUAUUAUUAUCAUUAAAAAAUUAAUUAUUACUAAUAAAUAUUGUUAAUUAUUAUUAUUAUUAACAAUUCAACUCAAAAAUUAUUAUUAAUUAUUGUUAAUAUAUUAAUUAAUUAUAAUGCUUUUUAUUGUUAAUAAUAAUAAUAAUAAUAAUAAUAAUCCAUUUAAAAAAAAUAACAGUAAUAAUCAAAAUCAUCAUCAUCAUCAUCAUCACAAUAGCAACAACAAAUCGGAAUUGGUGGUGGCAUCAUGAAUCAUGAUCAACAGUGUCGACAUCAUCAUCAUCAUCAUCAUGAAGAUCCCCGGUGAAGACAAAGAUGACGGCGACGAGGAGAUGUGGAGAUAUGCUCUUUUAAGAUGGUGAGGAGAUGAUGGCGAGAUUGUUACUGCAGUGGGCUAAAUAACGGACGGUGAAGAUGUGGAGAUAUGCUCUUUUAACAAUGUUCAUAUUGAUGCUGGAUAUUUUGGCAGCUUGUCCCAAUUCCAGAUGUGAAUGCAAUGUUCACAUUACAUUUGUUCGCCUACCAUUUAAUUUUGAACCACAAAAUCUGUGUAAAGUAGUUCACGUUUCACACUUCCUUAGCAGUUAUCAUCAGCAUUCGUCUCCCAUAUUCUCAAGUUUAAAUCAUUGGAAAAUUGAGUUAAAACAUGAUAACAGAAUCUAAAAUUUAGUGGCAUGAAGGAACAGAAGCAAUAUCGAAUGUUUCAAAUCUACAGUAUAAUUUGCUUAGUUCCCUGAACAAGAUUGAAACUUCAAAUGAGAUCAAGCAGCAAAGUGUAGAUUGGAGGUCACAUGCUUGAUAUUUGAUGCUAUCAAAAACAAUUUGCAGUACUGAAAUUGAUGCUCUAAUAAAUUUUCACAGGGAUUUCUAUAUUUACCACAAAUCUUCAGAAGUGAAACAGGAUAAAAUCAUAAUGCGUCAUUUAAUUAGCAGAGGCAACAAAAAUCCUACAAAAAAAGGGUUUACAGAAAAAGAAAGCAAAAAAUUGUUACAACCUGCAAAAACCCAAAUAUUCUACUAGCCAAAUCUUAGUUUAUACUAAUACAUCAUUCCUUGUUUGUUACCCAACCGAAUUUCUCACAGAAAUCACAUUUCUUCAUCCGCCUCAACUCAUACAUCUUUUACUGUAGAUCACAAAUACUUUUUGAUAUGCUUGGCUUUACAACAACGAAUAAUUUUCCUUAAAUCUUUUCUAAUAGACAAGAAAGCACAAAAAUUGGCAUAGUUGGGUAGAUAUGUAAAUGUGAAAAUAAUUAUGGAAGUAAGUCAAUAACAAAGAAUUAUCGGAAAAGACGGAUUUGAAAAGCAAUGAGACAAAAUAUAAAGAAGAAGAAAUUGAAGAUAGGGUAGGGCUAUUGGCUCUCUAAAAUUUAUUUUGGACAUUGAUGUGGUCUUUAAAAAAAAUUAUAUAAUUUUAUUCUUAAGUUAUCUUUAUCUCUUUGAGUUGUUAUCAUAGUUCAUUUUGAUUAAAUAAAAGUAGUUGUUGUGUUUACAUAAUUCUAAUGAACAUGGGUUUUAUUAUGCUUUUAAUCUUGAGGUCCAACUUCUAUAAGAUAGUAUUUAAACUAGCAUCAAUAUCAAUAAUAGUAGACUGAAAUAUUUUGUUUAGAGAUUGAGUAGUUGUAUUGGGAGAUAUCUAGUCCCUCAAAGUACCAAAAAUAUAUUUAUUAAAGCUUAGAUUCCUCAAAUUAACCCAUUUAUCACUUAUUCUUUUUAUUUUGUUUGAUUUCCUAUUGCAAUAAUUUGUGUCUGUAAGACUAUAACAGACACUCACAUUUUAAUAGUUCUUUAUUUCACUAAAUUAACCUCAAUGUAAUUUACUAUUGAGGACAAUUUAAUAAAAUAUAGUUCAAUAAAUUUUUAUCCAACGUCUUAUUUUAUCUACAAUAAACUAGAUCAACGAUGAAGAAAUGAAUGAAAGUUCAUAUGAAAACGCUAUCUGUACUUAUGGACUAAACCUUUUUUAUUUUUUAUUUUUUAUUUUUUAUUUUUUAUUUUGUUAAUAGAAUUGCUAGGAAAACAUCAUGUAAUACGUUCCAUCUUUUGUUACAAAAGGAAUUAAAAACAGAGGUGGAGGAAGAACAAUAAAUUGCACCACUACAAUAUAUGAAAAAGGAAAGAAAUCAAAGGAUAAAAUUUGUUUUAAAUUUGCUUUCUGAUCUUCACUCUUAUCUAAUCCGCAUUCUUUCAUGGAUUUGAAAAACAAAAUUGAAUUGCGACAUUGAAGAGAAGAACAAACAUAUGUCAAACCAUAUUAUGAAAGCAAAAUAAAAGUUGAUAAAAAUGAAAAAAAGUUCAAAUAUUUUGUUUGUGAUGAUGAAUAUUUUAUUGGAUGUAAAGAGGAAAUAAGGUAAUUAAAAAAAUAGGUAAUGAGAACAAUAUAGGAAGUCGAAAAAUAUUCCAAAUAAAAAUUAAUAUUUUGAAAUUAUUAACUGAUAUUCAAAAUAAAUUUUAGAAUGCAAGUACCGCAUCGCUGCCCAUUUCUUUGAUGAACCCAUUAGAAACGGCUUUAAAAUUAUAGAAACUGUAAAACGCUGUAAAACUGUUAACUUUAAAAAGCUUGCUAUAGUCUUUAAACCUUUAAUAGUGCAAAGUCACAAGUCUUGCAGCUAAAACUAUGAGUUGUAUACUCUUUUUUUUAUAAUGUUACUAGAACUGUUAUUAUCUUAUGUCUAUGUACGUAUGUUUACAAUAUAUUUCAUAAAUUUACUGAGAUAAGUGCAGAAAUUUAAUCCAAAGUACAUCCAAUCUAUUGUCACUAACUCUAAGGCCCUAUUUAGUAUUUAGAUAAUGUAGUUAUUGUGAAAAAAUCCAGUAACUACAAAAUAAAAAUUAAUAAUAUAUAGUAAUAUGACUUGUAAAUAAUAAUUUAAAAAAUACUAAAGAAUUAUAAGUUUUUCAAAAUAAAAGUGGUGGAAUAAAUUAAUUUAGUUUUCAAGUAACAGCAAGUAAUGUUUACUUAAUAUAAAAAGCUAUAAUUGUCCAAUCUCAAUAAGAACCUGAGUAUUUUAGCAAAAAUAUACUUUUAUUUCAUAUUUUACCAAUAUCCUCACCAUUAUUCAGAGCACCAACCUUUAACUAUCUUCGAUUCUAUUUUUUGUUAUAACUUUUUAAGUAGAGCUUUUACUAAAAAAUAAUGGUUUGGUUAUCAAUGAGAAUUUUUAUUAAAAUUUAUAAAAUUACUUUAAUAGGUAAAUUUCUUAAAGUUAUGUUAUGAAAUGAAUUAAAUAAAAUUGUGAAAUAUAUAAAGCAUAUUUUAGACAAUAUAAUAUUUUAAAAAAACUUAACCUCUACUUCAAAAAACUUAAAAUUUAAACUUUUACUAAUAUAGAUAAAAUAACUUAUUUAAUUUUAAAAAAAAUUUACUCAAAUUUUAUAAAAAAAUAUUAAGUUUAAAAAAAGGUUAUAAGAUUAAAUAAAUAAAUUUGACCGAAUGUACACUAACUCUUAGAAAAUAAAUAUUUUGCACUACAGAGGUAAGGUUCAAUUAUGUUGCAACUGAGAUAUUGUACCAUAUAUAUUUUUUUUUUUUGGGAAAUUGCCAAUUUUCUCCCUACAGUAAUCAACAUAUACCACUUUUCUCUCUGUUGUUUUUAUAAUGGCCAAAAACCCCCCUGACAGCAUAAGUUUACAAUAUUACCCUUAUUUUCAACUACUCAUUUAUUUUCAUUUAUUAUAAAUUAAAUAAAUCACAUGAAUAGAAAUUAAAUAAAAAAUUAAGCAUUUAAAAUAAGAAAUAUAUGUUUUGAUAUGAGAAAAAAAUUAAUAAUUUUUUUCUUGUACUUAUUUAUUUUGUGAAAAUUUUCUUAAAAUAAAUAUAUAAGAAAGUUAUUAUAAAAUGAUAAAAAAACUUAUUAUAAGAAAAUUUGAAUGACAAAUAAAAAUUUAUUAUAAGAUAAAUAAUAAAAUAUUUUACCUAUAUUUUUUACAUUUAAUUUUAAAAUAUUACAAAAUGUUUAUUAUAAGAAAAUGUUCACAAAAUAAAUAAUUACAAAAAAAAUUUAUUAUUAAUUUUUUUGCUCAUAUCAAAACAUAUAUUUCUUAUUUUUAAUACUUAAUUUUUUUAUUUAGUUUCUAUUCAUAUAAUUUAUUUAAUUUAAAAUAAAUGUAAAUAAAAGAGUAAUUAAAAAUAAGAGUAAUAUUAUAAAUUUAUGUUGUCAGAGAAAUUUUUGAUCAUUAUAAAAAUAAUAAAAGAGUAAAUGAUAUAUGUUAAUUAUUAUAGCGGGGAAAGUGGCAAUCUCCUUUUUUAGUAUUUAACAAAGUUCUUGGGUGCUUCCCAGUUCAAUCCAGCGGCUGAAAUUAAUUAUUGGAUAAUUGAUGCAGCAACUGACAACCGUUGCAGCUGGUUGUAUAUUAAUUUAAUAGCAGUUCAACAUGCGUGGGUUCCGAAAAUUUCUUAGUCCUGAUUAGGGUUUCACUAAUUCCAUCUGAAAAUUGAUCUCGCAACAGCAAUUAAGACAUAAAAUUAGAAUUAGAGGAUCGCUUUUUUUUUUUGGGAAUUAAAAUUUCCCGAUGAUUCAUAUUCAUCGGGAAAUUUUUUUUGAAAAGAUUUAAAACUUGUAAUUAGCUUGCAAGAACACUGCGUUUGUUUAUGAGAAUCAGAGAAAGUGAGAUUGGUAACAAUGGUUCGGUAAUUUCAUUACAGCAAUGAGGCGGGGGCUCACAAACAGAAAGCUACCGAUUUAAAGAGCUACAAUCAAGCUUUAGAAGCCGAUGGUAACAUAGUUAGAACAAUAGAAUCUGAUAGCUUUAGGGAUUCAUAAGCUAUUUGUAAGUAUUUGUACUCCCUGACUAAAUAAUUUGGGAAUAUAAGGAUGCAGUAAGAGUUGAGUGGUCUUUACUCCCAUAGCAUUAUUUUUUUCUGUGGUCUUUAUUCCCAUAGCAUUAUUUUUUUCUCACUUCAUCAGUGCUCUGUUCAAUCUUUAUGUGCCGCUUGUUAUGUUCCUGCAUAUCUAAUUACUUUUGGAUGAUAGUUGAUAUUUGACAAAUUUGCAGGUUAAGGAUAUUAGAUGGGACGCAGAGCUUGGUAGUCAGAACAUGGAAUUACGGUUGGUUGAAUACUUUACAGAUGAGUUUAAUAAACAAGUUGGUAAUUGGGUGAAGUGAGGAAGUCUCCCAAGGCCAUGGCUGAACUGAAGAAGCAAGUUAAAUAUACAAAAGCAAUUCUUUGUGCGAACACAAUAGAACCAAUAUCAGUUAAAUCUCUCCACGAUGAUAGGGACUUCAGAUAGGUGGAGUUCAAGUUCAGAUUUUAUUGUUUGAGGUGCGUUUUAAGUUUAUUAACAAAAUUAAUGUGUUCUUUAAAUGAGUGAGGAACUGUAGAACAUGACAAGUAGAGUUUAUUGUGUGAGGGAUGCAUAUUCUCUUACAAGUGCUUUGUUCUUUAAUAUAGCACUAUAAGACAUCUUCUGAUGAAAAAUAGAGUCAAUAAAAUUACUCCAGACUGACUGGGCCCUUGGAUUCCAAUUCUUGCAUGAGAUAUCUUUUUCCUUUUAUUCUUUUUUCAAAUUUACUAGUGGUACUUUCAUUUGGUAAACUAUUCUAUAUAUAUAUAUAUAUAUAUAUAUAUAUAUAUACUCUAAUCAAUUAUAUUGGCUUAUUCUCCUUUUAUGUUGAUUCACACUGCUGGUAUAUAUAAAAUUUAUUUAUUAGUUUUGGUGAAAAUUUUGUUUUGUUGCACACGGAUAGUAAACCCAAAUACAUUCAUAUGCAUAUCUGGGGUUUGUUUUGUCUUUUAGGAGCAGCAUUACCUGUCAAAAGUUCAAAGAGCUCUAUGAACUUAAGCAUUCAGGGUUGAAAAUGGACAAGAUAUAUGCAGUGGAGUUCAUUGGAAGAGCUACUAUAGUGCCAAAGUUGCAGGUUUGCACCAUCCGCUUUGUUUUGGUAGUUAGCCCGAGUAUUAAAUUCUUGAGGCGUGUAAGGUAGUGGACUUUAGCCAAUUCAAGAGUAGAAUAUAAUAUGUUUACUUGUUUUGAUCUUAAUCUUUAAUCACUUACCCUGAAUAAGAAAUAAUUUUUUGUAUUUGCUCUGCUAUGAUGUUAUUCGGUGUUAAUAGCUUCGUUUUGUUGCUCUUUUCCGCACAGAUUCUUGAUCUCAAAAGAACUUUUAUUUUGAAUAUUCUACAUAAGGACAAUCUGAUUUAAUACCAUCAGUGAUUUUUCAUUUUUUCUCUUUAGUUUUAAUAUGUUUGAUAACUGUAUGGUUAAGCAAUCUAUGCAAUUUUAUCUUGUCGUAUGUUUGAGCUCAUUUUUUGAUGCAAUUCUGAAUAUUUGGUAUGAAUUAUGUGAUACCGGACAAUACUAUUAACUUGUUAAUUGCUUAAAUUUAAUAUAUUGUCAAAGUCACUAAUAGCAUUUCAUCAUGCAAUGAGUUAAACAUGGAACAAAUGAUGACAUGCGGUUGUGGAAUGUGUUAGAUCUCUGGGAUUCUAUGUCCUUAUGCUUGCAGGGCAAAACAAUACAUUCGUUAAAACAUUGAAGACUGUGAUGUCCACAGAAAAUUAUAUGUCAACUUAUGCACCAGACAUGAUGAAAUUAGCCAAAGACAGUGUUUGGAAGUGGCAAGCAAGUGACAAUUUGCUUCUACCAAUGACUUCAGAUCUCAAACCUGUUUCAAGCAAGGCCAGCAAUGACAUCAUGUUCAAAACAGUUUAGCCAGACACACCUGUUCACACCCCUCUACUACAUAUAACCUAGAGGUACAUUUUUUCUAUACGAUUGGCAUUAGGCUUAUCCAGUUCAAUACAGUAUUUCACAAAACUUAUACCAACUUAUUCCUAAUUAUAGUGGACACAAUUAACUUACUUUGGCAACUGUUCUGAAGAGGCUGACAUCAACUACCAGUGAUGACACUCUCUUGUAAUGUUUUGGUGCUAUCUACUAAAUACUACUACUACAUAAUAUUGACAAUUCGUCUGUGUGCAGGCCCGUGAUAACCAUUUAGAUCGACCAGAAACCAAUAAGAUAUUGUAAUCACAAGCAAUCACCCAUCUCUUUGGAUGGUGCUCUAUUGUGAUUCUUUCCUCUAUGACUGUUAAAUAAGCAAUGUAUUGCACUUUUGUUAUGCAAAAGUAUGGCGACCAUGUAUCAACUAGUGUAUCUAUUUUAUACACUAAUUAUGAAUUACUAGAAAUUUUAUUACAUUAAUCAUUUUUAGAUAGUUACUCAUCUCAAACGAAAUAAACUGUUCAGGGACACUUGACCCAACAUGCUUGUGACCGACCUUAGAAUAAAUUUUUGUCACUCAAUAUAGACAACUUCUACGAGGUUAAUAUUUCUUCAAAUUUCAACAAAAUCAUUGGCCACAGGAAUACAUACACAUGUUUCCUUUGGCAUGUUAAGUAGACGGGAGCAACAUGUGGGCUGUACGCCAUUACCUUAAACGAAGCAAAAUUAUCUUGUGUUUAUCAAAGUUUGAAACCAAUUCUGAGUUAAUUACAAAGAAUGUAUGAAUAACGCAUUAUACUCAUACACCAAACUUUAAUCUGAUGGAAUCAAGUAAUUCUAUGUUAAUCAAAGUUUUUAGACUUACAAGAUGAUGGUCAAGUUUAUAUAAAAGCAAAUAACACUGAAAUCUAAUCAUCCUAUACAAACAAAUAUGAUUUAUUCAAUUAUAGCAAACAAUUGUUUUAUCGGAGUUAAUUACAUUAUUGCUAAACUUGUAUAAGCUUUCCUGUUUCAAACAUGUCUACUUAAUUACAUUAUUCAUCGACAAUGUUACUUUGCCCGUGGAAGUUUCAUUUUUUCAUACCUUAAUCACUAUUUAACGCUUCGUUUUCCAAUAGUUCUAAUUCUUCAAAUUUUGGCUUUAUUAUUCCAUAAUUAUAAAUUGAUACUAAUUUGCAGGACUCAAAUUAAAGUGGUUAAUUACUCUAAAGUAUAAUUCUAGCAGUCAAUAAUUACAUAAAAAUAAUUGCAAAAAAAAGUUAAUAAGGAAUAGUAUAAAUUUAAAAACCGCCAAAGUUACGAGAUAUAUGCUUGAUAUUUAAAUCAUGGCCAUAAUAUAUAUAUAUAUAUAUAUAUAUAUAGAUAUAUAUUAUGUGAUUCAGUUCUUAAUUAACCAUUCUAUGAAUAAAUAUGAGAAUUAAGUACAUAUUAUGCCACAACCUUAUUGAAGUGUUCCCACUACAAUAUUAGUAGUCAACAUUAGGUCUAAACACCCACAUAAAUCCAAGGGAUCUAGAUCUACAAAUAUUAACCACUCUAUGAAUAAACAUGGGAAUGAAGUACAUAAUUGCCACGGCCAUAUUGGAAUGUUUCCACUACCAUAUUCGUGUGUCAAUGUUGCGUCUAAACAUUUAUAUACAUCCAAGCAAAUUUAUAUUUGUAAAUAAAUAUAAAUAUGGAAUGAAAAUAAUAGGUAGAAAAUAUAAAUUACAAACAUUAAACUUAAAAUACAGUUGAGAAAGUAAUUAAAUCCACAAUUUAGAUCCUUGAAUUUCACACUCAUCACCUUAGCUUAAAAAAUUAGCCACUCAUAUUAAUAAACAAAACAUUCAUUUUAUUUAAUAAAUUUGUAAAAGUAUAAUACAAAAAAAUUAAAAUAAAGAAGAAGAGCAAAAAAACAAUAUCUUCUUAUUAACUACACUUCUUCAUAAAAUUCACUCUAAAUUUACACUAAAUUUCUCUAGGAAACUCACCUCUAAAAUUCUACACCCCGAAUUAUCAAAUCUCUUGCCUCUAUAUAGGCAAAUUCUAGGUUGAUCAUGUGUGGGCAUUUAGAUGAUAUUUUUGGUGAACUUGCAACCACAACCUUUAGAUGACCUUUGAUAAUCCAAAUACAAGCCAAGGGGUCCAAAAUUGCAAGUAUUGACAUGCAUAAUAAAACCGUUGAUUCAACAUAAUCAAUGGUUAUAAUGAAGUCAAAUCUGGAUCCUCCGUUGGAUUUUUUUUUUAAUUCAAGGUGGUUGAACCACUAAAUUGAUAAGUAUUAAAUCUAGUGUAAAUAAGUGCAUGUGAACUUAGACACACGACACGAUAUCAGCUUUUCAAAAUUAAUAUUAGAUAAAACGGCUACCAAUUCUUUUAAAAGUUAAAAUUAUAAUUUUUACUUUUAUUUAAUAUAUACUUUCUAGUAUUAAUCAUUGAUGAACAAUUUUUUAUUUCAUCGCCGUCUAGAUUGCCUUUAUCUUACACAAAUUUGUUUAAAACCUUUAAAUAGUUUCUAACCACUACAUAAUUUUAUCUGUCGUCCUUAAUCUUGUUAUCCACAACUGACCAACAUAUUGUUACCUAUCAUUAUAGUUGUGUAAUUCACCUUUUGUUAACUGGUUUCCUAAUAUAUUUUAAAAGAAAUGUGGCCAUCUGUUGCUCGUUGGAUCACUUGCUUUUAAAUCCAAUAAUUCCGUGAGAUAAAGACAAAACGCUUGCUAUAGUGCUACAGUUACAACAUAGACGUGGCUGUAGAGGCAGGAAAAAAAUCUAUUUGUUUAGUUACUGUACACUUUUUCAUUCAUUUUGUCCACUGCCAAAUCUUCGAGAGAAACAACACAAAUAAAAAAAGAUUUUAAGAAAUUUGAUGCCUUGUUCGCCGAAUCUCUCCACUUUUAAUUAGUGUCGUGAUCCUGAUCGUGUGAUCUGGUGAUGGUAUGACAAUUACUUUGGAGAAAACACCGGCCCACUUUGAAUAAAAUAAAUUUUAUACCAAAUGAAUCAUAAGGCAAAACACUGCACUUACCUAUCCAUGCUGAUUAAACCCCCUCGCCGACACCUCUGCUCUCACCAUCAAGGCAUCAACACUUAAUAAUGACAAUUGGUUGUGUUAGCAUUUUGGUCAAAACGCUGGACCCCCCGGCCCCCACAAAAAACAAAAAAAAUUUAUGAUAAUAAUAACAUUCAUAAAUAAAAAUUAAUAAUGGGUGUGUUAGCAUUUUGGUCAAAAGCCGAUUUGGCCUUCACAUUAAUUGGAAUUUUGGAUCUAUAAUAUGAUUUUCACCGAAAAGAUAAUUUUGCCGCUAAUUAUUUGGGUAGUCAGAUAAUAAUAACAAAAAAAAAUGUUAUCUCUCACCUAUAACUUGAGGAGAUAAUAAUAAAAGUCUUUCAUCAUACUAUACUGUUUAGUUUCUCUUCUUCAUUUUUUUCCCCUUUGAAGUCUUUCAACAAAAAUGGGUGGCAUCAUCUCAACCUUCUUCUCAGCGGACACAAUUCGUCCAAUUUUAUUUUACGUCGGUGGACAAGCAAAGUAUAUAUGGGGUCUUAUAGGUAAUCUCGAUGACUUGCAAACUGAAAAGGAGAACUUGAUUGCAAAAAAACUAGAUCUACUGAAUAAGGUUAGGCUUGCUGAACAACAACCCCGAAACAGACGGACACCGACGGUGGAACUUUGGUUUAGAAGGGUGGAAGAAAUAGAAACUAAAGUUGAGAGGCUGCAACAAGAAAGAGAUCAAGAGAUUGACAGAUUGUGUCUUGGAGGCUUCUGUUCCAAGGACUUGAUUUCAAGCUACGACUUCGGCAAAAAGGUGGAGAAGUUGAAGGAAGAAGUAAUCAAAUUGUGGGAAAAAGGAGAAGCAAUGAAAGAAGUUUAUGAGGGGGUACCAGAAGGUGCAGCGGUUGCAAUGGCUGUUGACCGAACAAUUGUUGGUCAAGAAUCCAUACUUGACCAAGUUUGGAGAUGCAUCACUGAGCAAAAAAAGAAUAAUGGAAUUAUUGGCUUAUAUGGUAUGGGGGGCAUCGGCAAAACUACUCUGUUAAAACAAGUCAAUAACAAAUUCUGCAGUGAGGAGCAUGAUUUUGAUGUCGUUAUCUGGUCGGUUGUAUCUAGAGAGCCAAACUUGAUGCAGAUUCAAGAGGAUAUUGGGAAAAGGAUAGGCUUCUCAAAAAAUUCAUGGCAGGAUAAAAGUUUUGAAGAAAGGGCUUCAGACAUCACCAACACUUUAAAGCAUAAGAAGUUUGUAUUGUUAUUGGAUGAUAUAUGGGAGUCCGAAAUUGAUUUAACCAAAUUGGGCGUCCCUCUUCAGACACUAGAUUCUGGGUCCAGAAUAGUCUUCACAACUCGUUUUGAGGGUACUUGUAGUAAAAUGGGAGCCCAUAAGAAUCGGUACAAAGUGUUUUGUUUGGGAGACGACGAUGCCUGGAAAUUAUUUGAGGGGGUGGUCGGGAGAUACGUUCUUGACAAGCUUUCCGACUUUCCGACGCUAGCCAAGGAUAUGGCACGUCAGUGUCAUGGUUUGCCGUUAGCACUCAAAACAGUAGGCAAUGCCAUGGCGAGCAAAGUGUACCCUGAAGAAUGGAAAGAAGCAAUUGAGAUCCUAAGCGCAUCAGCUUCUAAAUUCGAAGGUAUGGAGAAAAAGGUGCUUUCGAGCUUAAAGUUCAGCUAUGAUAGUUUGCCGAAAGAUGAACUUCGAUCUUGUCUCCUGUACUGUUGUUUAUUUCCCGAAGACUAUGAAAUUGAAAAAACCGACUUGAUGGAGUAUUGGAAAAGUGAAGGAUUUCUGGAUUCCAGCAGCGGGUGGGGGGUUCUUGGUGCUCUCGUUCGUGCAUGCUUAUUGGAGGAAGGAGGUGACCAUGUAAAAAUGCACGAUAUGAUCCGUGACAUGGCAUUAUGGAUAGCAAAUGAAAUAGAGGAGGAGGAGGAGAACUUUUUGGUUCGUGCAGGAGUUGGAUUAACUGAAGCCCCAAAGAUUGAAGAAUGGGAAGGGGUCAAAAGGAUAUCUUUGAUAGAUAAUGAAAUUCGGAGUCUACCAGAAAUUCCCACUUGUCCGCGCCUGCAAACAUUGCUUCUGGAAUAUAAUUGUAUUAAGGAGAUCACGGACAUUUUCUUUCAAUCCUUGCCUUCGCUUAGAGUUUUGAAUCUAAGUGGAAAUGAUUCCCUAACUGAACUGCCUGUAGGGAUUUCAAGUUUGGUUUCAUUACACCAUCUUGAUCUGUCUUGGACUGAAGUGCGCGGAUUGCCGCAAGAGCUCAAGGCAUUGGUGAAUCUGAGAUAUUUGAACUUGGAGUAUACAUAUGAAAUGCGUAAAAUUCCACAGCAGCUGAUAUCAAGCUUUUUAAAGUUACAGGUACUCAGGAUGCUGUGUUGCGGUCAAAGUCACCAGCCAAUAGUGGAAGAAGGCAACGUUCUAUCUGAUGAUGCUGAAUCAUUGAUGAAGGAAAUCCACUGUUUGGAACAAUUAAAUCUCAUCACCUUGUCCUUACAUGGUUCGCGUGGUGUUGAAAACUUUCUGAAAUUCCCAAAGCUGCAGAAUAUCACUCAAGCUCUGCACAUCAAAGACUGCAACAGUCUACCGCUCAAUUUGUUGCAUCUAGCAAACAUGGAGCAUCUU